rnacentral:rRNA from 1 species
UACGAAGGGGGCGAGCGUUGUUCGGAUUUACUGGGCGUAAAGGGCGCGUAGGCGGCCCUCCUAGUCGCGUGUGAAAGCCCCCGGCUCAACUGGGGAGGGUCAUUCGAUACUGCUCGACUUGAAGGCAGGAGAGGGUAGUGGAAUUCCCGGUGUAGUGGUGAAAUGCGUAGAUAUCGGGAGGAACACCAGUGGCGAAGGCGACUACCUGGCCUGUUCUUGACGCUGAGGCGCGAAAGCUGGGGGAGCAAACGGG